rnacentral:rRNA from 1 species
ACGACUGGUCCUUUUGCACUACUGGUCUUCGUAGAGUUUUAGACUAGUUAAACCAAAGACGUUUCUUUCCAACUUGAAAGCCUCAUCUAGCCAUAUAUUUUUCGGGGGAAAACAUUAGAAGAGGGACAUUCUAUCAGCCUUUCCUUCCCGAGCCGGUUGUAUCUGCUCUGUACCCGUUGACGUCGUCGAAGUCAGAAGGUUUUACCUAUAAGCCACUAGACGUGUCGUUGCCGUACCAAAGGUAACUUCUCCUACCUUGAGUACUGCCGUAUUUCUGCUAGGCCUAAGUCUUUCGGACGCUCAAGUGGUGGUCGAGACACGAAACACAGACGUAAUAGUGUACCUUGUACUUGCCGUUCUACAGACACGUCCUGGAUUCUUUCGACCACUCGAGGUGGUCCUUCAAGCUGAACGACCAACAACCCGACGUUCUUCAGGGCUUUACGCCGCAGCUCGUCCAAGACGUUCUUCGGUACCGACUAUGUGUGUAGGACAAUACAGUCUUUCGGUACGUCAGAUAAGUCUACAAAGAAAAACCCCGUUUCUCAAGCCUUAGCAUGUAGUUUCUUUACUUCCACCUGUUUGUGCGUCAGCCUCCGACGCCUCCGCAUUAACCCUCUUUCUUUCCUCGACACCGGUACAUACAUUUGAAGUCACCCUAGGCCUACCACAAACACAGGACGGUAGAACGUCACAUCGAGUACUUGUGUUCCACCUCUUCUCCUUGAGACUUACGGCCGUAUAAAGCGUGAGCGACAAGAGGUUCUUACUGUAUGUAAUACGGUUUAGACGGCUGUAUUGUCACACCGAGCCACUGAACUUAAUGUCUAAUCUUCCUUAUUCGAGCUACGGUCGUUCCUUCUACUAGCUCCUCUUAGCGGUUUCAUUCGAUUCUCUGUCUCUGGUCGACGACGUUCUUCGGCUCUUCCCAGUUCACAAGUUACCCAUGACACUUCCCUGGAACAGAAAAUUCGGUUGUAUGUUUAUAUUACAGCCUUCAUCGUUGAUGCUAAGUUCAAUGUUCUAGUCUCACGGUAGAACCUGUCUAUCCUAUAACAAGUUCCAACUGGUAAGAAGACCGAACCUACGCCACAAUUCAAGUAUACUUCGUGAACUAACACAAUCGUCAAGACUGGUGUUCGGACACUUUCGAGUAGAAACAGACUUUCAUGCACUACCACUAAGUAUCUAAAUAUAAUGUUAACUGUUAGCGUUCAUAUAAGUCUACUGACUAAAAAAAACAUUGUUUUAACAUUUCCGUUUAUCGUAUCUACUAAUAGAUAGGAGAAUUUUACUAAAGCGAUCUACAUUAAACCAUUUCAGUUUUACGGUUGGCACAUAAGUACAACAACACAUGAGGAGUACUACAAUAUACCACUGCGCCUAAAAAGCUUGGCCAGCCGUCCGCAAGAUGUUUGUUGAAGACUACACAAUUCCUUUGUCUUUAUGGGUCGUAUACGCCUGUGAUUUGAAACCAAUUAUGUGUAUCAUGGUACAGUUAUACCGUAACUGUAUCGUCUCGUCUAAGAAAUAAUGUCGUGUGUAACAAAGGGUAACUAUGGGCCACGUGUUUAGCAACGUGGUGGAUCGUUAGCAAACUAGUUGACAUUAACACACAUUUUAAACAUUUAGUCGUUGUAACAAGUAUAACCACGAUAUAACAC